ACCGGCCACAUUGGGACUGAGAUACGGCCCAGACUCCUACGGGAGGCAGCAGUGGGGAAUAUUGCACAAUGGGCGCAAGCCUGAUGCAGCGACGCCGCGUGAGGGAUGGAGGCCUUCGGGUUGUAAACCUCUUUUAUCGGGGAGCAAGCGAGAGUGAGUUUACCCGUUGAAUAAGCACCGGCUAACUACGUGCCAGCAGCCGCGGUAAUACGUAGGGUGCAAGCGUUAUCCGGAAUUAUUGGGCGUAAAGGGCUCGUAGGCGGUUCGUCGCGUCCGGUGUGAAAGUCCAUCGCUUAACGGUGGAUCUGCGCCGGGUACGGGCGGGCUGGAGUGCGGUAGGGGAGACUGGAAUUCCCGGUGUAACGGUGGAAUGUGUAGAUAUCGGGAAGAACACCAAUGGCGAAGGCAGGUCUCUGGGCCGUUACUGACGCUGAGGAGCGAAAGCGUGGGGAGCGAACAGGAUUAGAUACCCUGGUAGUCCACGCCGUAAACGGUGGAUGCUGGAUGUGGGGCCCGUUCCACGGGUUCCGUGUCGGAGCUAACGCGUUAAGCAUCCCGCCUGGGGAGUACGGCCGCAAGGCUAAAACUCAAAGAAAUUGACGGGGGCCCGCACAAGCGGCGGAGCAUGCGGAUUAAUUCGAUGCAACGCGAAGAACCUUACCUGGGCUUGACAUGUUCCCGACGGUCGUAGAGAUACGGCUUCCCUUCGGGGCGGGUUCACAGGUGGUGCAUGGUCGUCGUCAGCUCGUGUCGUGAGAUGUUGGGUUAAGUCCCGCAACGAGCGCAACCCUCGCCCCGUGUUGCCAGCGGAUUAUGCCGGGAACUCACGGGGGACCGCCGGGGUUAACUCGGAGGAAGGUGGGGAUGACGUCAGAUCAUCAUGCCCCUUACGUCCAGGGCUUCACGCAUGCUACAAUGGCCGGUACAACGGGAUGCGACACGGCGACGUGGAGCGGAUCCCUGAAAACCGGUCUCAGUUCGGAUUGGAGUCUGCAACCCGACUCCAUGAAGGCGGAGUCGCUAGUAAUCGCGGAUCAGCAACGCCGCGGUGAAUGCGUUCCCGGGCCUUGUACACACCGCCCGUCAAGUCAUGAAAGUGGGCAGCACCCGAAGCCGGUGGCCUAACCCCUUGUGGGAUGGAGCCGUCUAAGGUGAGGCUCGUGAUUGGGACUAAGUCGUAACAAGGUAGCCGUACCGGAAGGUGCGGCUG
rnacentral:rRNA from 1 species